ensembl:lncRNA
GCGUCGCUGGACUGCAGGGAACAUAAACACUCUGGGUUGCAGAUAACUGACGUGGCUGGCCACCUCAGCCACUGGUCUGCCCUCUGGAUCUGGGUGAUGCCAGCUCCUUGGCAACCCCGCAGGCUGCUGUGACCCUGGGCUGGGCGGGGGGAGGGGUAGAGCACCAGGUGACGUGGCAACACUGCAGUACAUGGCCAAACAGUUCUCAGAGACCUGCCGUCCUGCAGUCCUGCGGCAGAUCAGGGGCGUAACUGCAGGAAUCCUGGGAAAGAGAAGAGAGAGAGAAUACCACUGGUGCACGAUUCUAGCCAGAAAGGAAAUGCUAUAAAAUUCUGCUUCCUGGCCCGGCUCCCAGGGUGCUAAUGCUUGGAACUGUCCGGUCACCCAGACCGUUUCAAUUUUUUUUUAUCACGUGCAGUUCCUGCCUUGGUGUUCGGCUUUCUUUUGCCCCUCAGUUUCACAUGGCCCACUGAGGCCCCUACUCAUGAUUCAGACUGAAAUAGCGGCCUGCUUUGCAUGCCAGCUCAAGCUACAUUUCAGUUCUUGUUUCUCUGAAAAGACUGGGCUGUGCAGCUUGAGGGAUCUCAGUUCCUCCGACCAGGGAUUGAACUCAGACCAUGGCAGUGAAAGCCUGGAAUCCUAACCACUAGGCAUCCAGGGAACCCCCCAUUUGUAGACUUUCUGAUGAUGGACAUUCUGACAGGAGAGAGGCCUGAGAAUCUCCUGCAAUCAAGCCCUGCUAGCCUUCAAAGCCAAAUGCCCUGGGGACUCUUCCUCCUAAUGCCAGACCCCUAGGCUAGGAAGCCUAACGUGGGGCUCAUAACUCUAAUUUCCAUGGGAGAAGUUCUGCAAUAUAAUUGUUUUCCAGCUGGGCUUCCCUCGUAGCUCAGUCAGUCAAAGAUCUGCCUGCAAUGCUAGAGACCUGGGUUCAAUCCCUGGGUCAGGAA